UCAUUUUCUAGCGAUCACUUUCCUUCUGCUGGUGACACACUGUUACUUCAAAGGCCUGGACCGGGGCGUGUUUCCUGUAAGGGUGAGCAGAUUUGAAUGACCGCUCAGGAUGGACCUGCUCUGAAAUAUGCAAGCUGCAAUCAUCUAGGUAUGCUCACUACAGCUAAAGUGGUGCUGUGGUGCCAGUGCCACGUGCCGCGAAGGCUGCCAGCGAGCAUUUUUUCCAAGGACCGAUUAUUGGGAAAUUCAGCCUUUCCUCCUCUCGCUCCCCAACCAUUCAUGGAAAGGUUGCCAUGUGCCAGGAAGCCCGACUAUUUCAGUCAGUCAUGAAGCCAUCUAAGCACAGGUGUUGGAAGAGGUCAGCCUUUGAGCCGUGAUUUAAUACUUAAAGGAGCCUGACCAGACUUGGAACUGAAGCACCUUAAGGACAAAAGAAAGACUUGCUGAGCUCGCUCACAGACCUUCUAGAGCAGCGCUGGGCUCAUGGAUCUGGAGAUUAUGGACAGAAGAUAAUGUAGAUGUUAUAACCAGGCCAGCGUCCUGUGGUAAAGGGUGUCUUUAGAUCACUGUUUCGUCGGUAUAGGUAAAUGACAUGAAGAACAUCUUUAUAGGCAGGGGAUGAGAAUCUGAGAUGAAGAAAAGAGGCUCCCCUGAUGGACCAUUCUAAGCUACUGUCAGAAGCAGGAUCCAUAGAACUUAAGGACAUGAUUGCAACAAUUAUCAGACAUUGGCCUCUUAGGUCAUGGUGAUCUUUUAGUAUUUUGGCUUUCUGCUGUCCUUUCAUAAAGGAACCUCAUUUUUAGCUUCUAUUGAAGAUAUAAAAUCAUCUCAUAGUAUUUUCUCAUUACUAGGAGCUGUAAAUCACUUCAAAGCUGUCUUUCUCCUUGAUCAUUUGCAUAUCAAAGUAUUUCUCUUGAGUACGGUGAUCUCUCCCCCUGUGGUUUGCUGUGUACCAGUUCUCUCUGGAUCCUAGGGCCUAGGGAAGUGUGGAUUCCAAGUGACUGGUGUUUUUCUACAGUAGAGCUUUUUUGUUGGCUCUUACCUGGGAGGACAAUGGGGAAGGGCCAGGGCCAUCCUGUUCUUUGCUGGGUGUGACCUUUCCUGCUCUGCUUCAGGGUUCCAUGCUGAAACCACCUUUAGCCAUCAUCGAGUGGGACUCCUUUUUACAUUUUGGUGAUUUCAAUAUUGUUUUUGUAUGGGUUUUGAGUUUCAGUCCUAAAUCUGUGUGGUGUGACAGAGGGAACCUCUACACAAAGGCCUGCCAAUCUGCAACCUCUUCAUGCUGCCACUGGUUAGAUCAACAGUUCACUCUAGACACUGAACCUUGCCUGCAUGCGUGCUAGUGUCACCACCAACAUCAGUAUCACUGUGCACCAGCAUCAGCAUCACUGUGCACCAGCAUCAGCAUCACUGUGUAUCAGCAUCAGCAUCACUGUGCACCAGCAUCAGCAUCACUGUGCACCAGCAUCAGCAUCACUGUGUAUCAGCAUCAGCAUCACUGUGCACCAGCAUCAGCAUCACUGUGUACCAGCAUCAGCAUCACUGUGCACCAGCAUCAGCAUCACUGUGUACCAGCAUCAGCAUCACUGUGUACCAGCAUCAGCAUCACUGUGUAUCAGCAUCAGCAUCACUGUGCACCAGCAUCAGCAUCACUGUGCACCAGCAUCAGCAUCACUGUGUAUCAGCAUCAGCAUCACUGUGCACCAGCAUCAGCAUCACUGUGCACCAGCAUCAGCAUGACUGUGUACCAGCAUCAGCAUCACUGUGCACCAGCAUCAGUAUCACUGUGUACCAGCAUCAGCAUCACUGUGCACCAGCAUCAGUAUCACUGUGCACAGCUCAAUCUCCAUACGUCAAUCGCCAGAUCGGUCCAAAAGUGUCUUGUCUGUGUGUAUUUUCUCCCACUUUACCACUCCACUCUGGCUUAAGCCUUCCCACCUGCUACUGUGUACUGUGUGGUUGCUGGCUUUGGGAACUCCCAAACUUUCCCUCUGUAUUUCAUGUUUCUGUUGGCCUGACAAGUAUCUCUUUCUAAAAAAGUACUAGUUUAUUUUAUGUGAAUGAAUGUUUUGUCUGUGUAGCUGGUAUGUGCUUGGUGCCCAUGAAUCCCAGAAGAGGGUAUUGGAUCCUCUGGAAGUGGAGUUAGUUACAGAUGCUUGUGAGCCUUCAUGUGGGUUCUGGGAAUUGAACCCAGGUCUUUUGGAUCCCAGUGAUUUUAAUGGUCGAGCUAUCUUUCCAGCUCCUUCAGGGCCUGAGAGAGGUCCUAGAACCCCUAAAUUCCCCAGUGACUCCCCUUUGUUAUUCUGAGAAGUUUCAGCUUCAACUUGCCAUUCUGGGAAACACAGGACCCUAUAAUCCACCUGCCUUCCGGGAUGAACACAUGGCUUCACCCCUGAAGGCAGUGCUUAAGGCACUGCAUGAUUCUCCACUUCCAAACGUGAUCUGUAUUUUCUGCCCACCUACCUCUUUGCUUAGUCAUUCACUGUAUUAUUCCCUAUUCUGUGCUGAGCACGAGUGUGCUCUCUCUCUCUGUCUCCUUUCUUUUUGCUUUUUUUUUCUCAUCUUUCUUUUUUUUUUGUCAGUUUUAUGUAUCUUUGAAAAUUUUAUUGAAUGUAACCUUUUUAAGAGUCUUGGAUGCAAUGUCCUUUCUUUGAGCCUUGAAAUCUGAAUCAUCUCUUUAGUGUAUUGUGGCAAAUGACGGUGUUUCUCUGUGUAUUCCUAGCUGUCCUGGAACUCUUUUUGUAGAUCAGGCUGGCCUCGAACUCACAGAGAUUUGCCUGCCUCUGCCUCUCAAGUGCUGGGAUCAACAGCAUGUGCUACCACUGUCCAGGUCUUGAUUUCUUGAUUUCUUGAUUUAAAAGAAUGAGUCUCUGCAUAAGGCUUGCCUAGGCCAUCAGCUACAAGCUUCACUGGACAGUGUACAGACAGCAUAGAGUUGGCUUCAUACUAGGGAUUGAGCAUCUAUUGGUGGAAUAAAUACAUCAAUAUGUGGA
rnacentral:lncRNA from 1 species